rnacentral:tRNA from 1 species
GAAGAUGUAGCCCAGGGGUAGAGCACAUGCCUGGCACGCGUGAGGUCCUGGGUUCAGUCCUCAGUACCUCCA